CUGUUUAUGAAUUGUUUUGGUGUUUUCUUGCUGUGGAUCUUCCAACGGUGAUGCAGCGCGGCUAUUUCCGUUUAUUAAUAAUAAAGUCAUGUUACAUGUGUUGUUUUCCAGCUGCCUGUCCAUGGCGUACAAAGACACACUAUGAGCCAGUAUGAUCCGACCAGACCUUACAUCAGCAUUGAGGAGUUGUCGGAGAAGAAAGAGGCUGAUUGAAGCGGGACAGAUGACAUGGAUCCAUCCUUCCACAGCCAGGAGUGCACCGACCUGUGUCCCACACUUCAUAUAAGACUGGAAGCUACACUGAUCUCACAGCUACACACCACAGACGUCUACACACUGGAGAAGAGUCCCACAAAGAAGUCAUGACCCAGAGGCUGCAGAGAAACAUUUCAAGCCUCAUCUGAGUUUUUGUACAAUAUUUUUGCUGUAUGUAAAUAAAGCUUUCACUCCACAUAUA